rnacentral:rRNA from 1 species
AACGAACGCUGGCGGCGUGGAUUAGGCAUGCAAGUCGAACGCGAAAGGGGAGCAAUCCCCGAGUAGAGUGGCGAACGGGUGAGUAACGCGUGAAGAAUCUGCCUUCAACAGGGGGAUAACACUCCCAACGGGGUGCUAAUACCGCAUGAGACCACGGGAUCGCAUGGUCCUGAGGUCAAAGGUGGCCUCUACUUGUAAGCUACCGGUUGAAGAUGACUUCGCGUCCCAUUAGCAGUUGGCGGUGUAAUGGACCACCAAGGCGACGAUGGGUAGCUGGUCUGAGAGGAUGGUCAGCCACACUGGGACUGAGAUACGGCCCAGACUCCUACGGGAGGCAGCAGUCGAGAGGCUUUGGCAAUGGGGAAACCCUGACCAAGCGACGCCGCGUGGGGGAUGAAGGCCCUUGGGUUGUAAACCCCUUUUGUCGGGAAAGAAAUGCGAUCAGGUGAACAAUCUGGUCGUUUGACGGUACCCGCGAAUAAGCUCCGGCUAACUCCGUGCCAG